CAUGUCAGCUAGGUACUUGCCAAGUUUAGGAAUGGAUGAGAAUUCCAGGCCAUGGCCAAGGACAGCUGUACUCAGUGACUGCACCAGCCUGUUGCCAUUUUACUGCUGAUAGGUCUUACCUAGGAACUGGGUGAAGCUACUAUAUAAAAACUUCCCUUUGGGGGAGGGGGUGGGUAAGCAUAGCAUCUGCCU